AACAAGUCUGGGCCCUAAGGGCAUGGAUAAAAUGAUUCAGGAUGGAAAGGGAGACGUCACCAUCACUAAUGAUGGAGCCACUAUCCUCAAACAGAUGCAGGUGCUGCAUCCUGCGGCCAAAAUGAUGGUGGAGCUGUCUAAAGCUCAGGAUAUUGAGGCUGGCGACGGCACUACAUCAGUGGUGGUGAUUGCUGGAGCUCUUCUUGAUGCCUGCGCUAAACUGCUACA